rnacentral:rRNA from 1 species
GACGAACGCUGGCGGCGUGCUUAACACAUCCUAGUCGAACGGAAAGGCCCUGCUUUUGUGGGGUGCUCGAGUGGCGAACGGGUGAGUAACACGUGAGUAACCUGCCCUUGACUUUGGGAUAACUUCAGGAAACUGGGGCUAAUACCGGAUAGGAGCUCCUGCUGCAUGGUGGGGGUUGGAAAGUUUCGGCGGUUGGGGAUGGACUCGCGGCUUAUCAGCUUGUUGGUGGGGUAGUGGCUUACCAAGGCUUUGACGGGUAGCCGGCCUGAGAGGGUGACCGGCCACAUUGGGACUGAGAUACGGCCCAGACUCCUACGGGAGGCAGCAGUGGGGAAUAUUGCACAAUGGGCGGAAGCCUGAUGCAGCAACGCCGCGUGCGGGAUGACGGCCUUCGGGUUGUAAACCGCUUUCGCCUGUGACGAAGCGUGAGUGACGGUAAUGGGUAAAGAAGCACCGGCUAACUACGUGCCAGCAGCCGCGGUGAUACGUAGGGUGCGAGCGUUGUCCGGAUUUAUUGGGCGUAAAGGGCUCGUAGGUGGUUGAUCGCGUCGGAAGUGUAAUCUUGGGGCUUAACCCUGAGCGUGCUUUCGAUACGGGUUGACUUGAGGAAGGUAGGGGAGAAUGGAAUUCCUGGUGGAGCGGUGGAAUGCGCAGAUAUCAGGAGGAACACCAGUGGCGAAGGCGGUUCUCUGGGCCUUUCCUGACGCUGAGGAGCGAAAGCGUGGGGAGCGAACAGGCUUAGAUACCCUGGUAGUCCACGCUGUAAACGGUGGGUACUAGGUGUGGGGUCCAUUCCACGGGUUCCGUGCCGUAGCUAACGCUUUAAGUACCCCGCCUGGGGAGUACGGCCGCAAGGCUAAAACUCAAAGGAAUUGACGGGGCCCCGCACAAGCGGCGGAGCAUGCGGAUUAAUUCGAUGCAACGCGUAGAACCUUACCUGGGUUUGACAUGGAUCGGGAGUGCUCAGAGAUGGGUGUGCCUCUUUUGGGGUCGGUUCACAGGUGGUGCAUGCCUGUCGUCAGCUCGUGUCGUGAGAUGUUGGGUUAAGUCCCGCAACGAGCGCAACCCUUGUUCACUGUUGCCAGCACGUUAUGGUGGGGACUCAGUGGAGACCGCCGGGGUCAACUCGGAGGAAGGUGGGGAUGACGUCAAGUCCUCAUGCCCCUUAUGUCCAGGGCUUCACGCAUGCUACAAUGGCUGGUACAGAGAGUGGCGAGCCUGUGAGGGUGAGCGAAUCUCGGAAAGCCGGUCUCAGUUCGGAUUGGGGUCUGCAACUCGACCUCAUGAAGUCGGAGUCGCUAGUAAUCGCAGAUCAGCAACGCUGCGGUGAAUACAUGCCCGGGGCU